rnacentral:tRNA from 1 species
GCCUGGGUGGCUCAGUCGGUUGAGCCUCUGACUUCGGCUCAGGUCAUGAUCUCGUGGUCCGUGGGUUCGAGCCCCGCGUCGGGCU